rnacentral:rRNA from 1 species
GAUGAACGCUGGCGGCGUGCCUAAUACAUGCAAGUCGAGCGAACAGACGAGGAGCUUGCUCCUCGGACGUUAUCGGCGGACGGGUGAGUAACACAUGGAUAACCUACGUAUAAGACUGGGAUAACUUCGGGAAACCGGAUCUAAUACCGUAUAAGAUAUUGAACCGCAUGGUUCAAUAGUGAAAUGCGAUUUUGCUAUUACUUAUAGGUGGAUCCGCGCCUCAUUAGCUAGUUGGUAAGGUAACGGCUUACCAAGGCAACGAUGCGUAGCCGACCUGAGAGGGUGAUCGCCCACACUGGAACUGAGACCCGGUCCAGCCUCCUACGGGAGGCAGCAGUAGGGAAUCUUCCGCAAUGGGCGAAAGCCUGACGGAGCACCGCCGCGUGAGUGAUGAAGGUCUUCGGAUCGUAAAACUCUGUUAUUAGGGAAGAACAAAUGUGUAAGUAAAUAUGCACGCCUUGACGGUACCUAAUCAGAAAGCCACGGCUAACUACGUG